AGUGGACUGAAAAGGAUAACACCUUCAACUUUCUAUUUUUGUAGGACUUUGUAUUCUUACAGCCACCCGUUACACUGCCAAGCACUGACAAACAGCCCUGAGGAGGGCAUCUUCUUCAUGUCACUGCUGAUGUGCAGCUGAGGAGCCUCACUGACCAGCACUUUGUUCCAGCAACAAAUGAGUGGAGAGAGGUGAACUACUGCUACACUCGGAGUCCCAUGGCUAUUCUUGAAAAAUCUACCACAGGUGCCAAAGCUCCAUGAUCUCUAUCAAAAGCUUCUCAUUUUCCAAGAUCAAUUUUUACUUCAAGAGGUGAUCCAUAGAUACUUCCAUGAAUAUUUAUAUUUAGAGAAUGAAGUAGGAGCAUUUGUAAAUCCUUAUACCCUUAAUUAAUGCCAGUCUUCAAGGUUGUGUUUCCCAGUGAUUGAUAAUAAAAAGGUUUCAGUAUGGCA
rnacentral:lncRNA from 14 species